rnacentral:rRNA from 1 species
AGCGAACGCUGGCGGCAGGCCUAACACAUGCAAGUCGAACGAACUCUUCGGAGUUAGUGGCGGACGGGUGAGUAACACGUGGGAACGUGCCUUUUGGUUCGGAAUAACUCAGGGAAACUUGUGCUAAUACCCAAUGUGCCCUUCGGGGGAAAGAUUUAUCGCCAUUAGAGCGGCCCGCGUCUGAUUAGCUAGUUGGUGAGGUAACGGCUCACCAAGGCGACGAUCAGUAGCUGGUCUGAGAGGAUGACCAGCCACACUGGGACUGAGACACGGCCCAGACUCCUACGGGAGGCAGCAGUGGGGAAUCUUGCGCAAUGGGCGAAAGCCUGACGCAGCCAUGCCGCGUGAAUGAUGAAGGUCUUAGGAUUGUAAAAUUCUUUCACCGGGGACGAUAAUGACGGUACCCGGAGAAGAAGCCCCGGCUAACUUCGUG